GGAUGUUCCUUCAUACAGAGUGGCAUAGGUCUGAACUGAAAGACACCUUUUGCACAGACGACUUGUAUUCAUUGGGAGAGGAAGUCUGUUAACCCUCUAAGUGUGUGGUCAGCGUACGAUAUGUCUGUGUGACACUACAGUGUGUGUGUGGUCAGCGUACGAUGUCUGUGUGACACUACAGUGUGUGUGUGGUCAGCGUACGAUAUGUCUGUGUGACACUACAGUGUGUGUGUGGUCAGCGUACGAUAUGUCUGUGUGACACUACAGUGUGUGUGGGGUCAGCGUACGAUAUGUCUGUGUGACACUACAUUGUGUGUGUGGUCAGUGUACGAUAUGUCUGUGUGACACUACAGUGUGUGUUGUCAGCGUAUGAUAUGUCUGUGACACUACAGUGUGUGGUCAGCGUACGAUAUGUCUGUGACACUACAGUGUGUGUGUGUGUGUGUGUGUGGUCAGCGUACGAUAUGUCUGUGUGACACUACAGUGCGUGUGUGUGUGGUCAGCGUACGAUAUGUCUGUGUGACACUACAGUGUGUGUGUGUGGUCAGCGUACGAUAUGUCUGUGUGACACUACAGUGUGUGUGUGUGUGUGUGUGUGUGGUCAGCGUACGAUAUGUCUGUGUGACACUACAGUGUGUGUGUGUGGUCAGCGUACGAUAUGUCUGUGACACUACAGUGUGUGUGUGUGGUCAGCGUACGAUAUGUCUGUGUGACACUACAGUGUGUGUGUGUGUGGUCAGCGUACGAUAUGUCUGUGUGACACUACAGUGUGUGUUGGGGCUCCAGAGGGGAUUUUUCGUUUACCUUGGCAUAGUGGACGAUUCCAGACUCUUACUUUCAUUCUGUCUCUUAGCUCGACAUUCGUUUACCCACUCUUUUGAGUAGGUUAUUUUUCUUCUGGUCUUUUGUCUGUGUUUUUCCUACAUUUCUGUCUAGAGUUCUCUAACCAUCUCUCUCACAUAGAGGUUAGAACUGAUGGUUCCUCCCUUUGUCAAACCGCUGCACAACAAACUAGGGCAUGCAUACACAUGUCUUUAAUGAUCAUUUUCUCUUUUAAUCUUGUUCACUUAUGUAAUAUAGAAAUCACAAUCUUGUAUUUUUCCUGGAAAGCCUUUGUCCUUUCUUUUGAUUUUAUGUUUGUAGAUACGACGACGACAAAAAGUGUACAUUAUUUUCUCUCACAUUUGAAUAAAUGGUGAGGUUGUUAGCUGCGAAGAAGGAAAAUUAAGUCUUGUUGCAGGUUCAUGUGUAUUGUGACAUUAAAAAGAACUUUGAAAAAAG